rnacentral:rRNA from 1 species
CCUACGGGUGGCUGCAGUGAGGAAUAUUGGUCAAUGGACGAGAGUCUGAACCAGCCAAGUAGCGUGAAGGAUGACUGCUCUAUGGGUUGUAAACUUCUUUUAUAUGGGAAUAAAAUGUUCCACGUGUGGGAUUUUGUAUGUACCAUAUGAAUAAGGAUCGGCUAACUCCGUGCCAGCAGCCGCGGUAAUACGGAGGGUCCGAGCGUUAUCCGGAUUGAUUGGGUUUAAAGGGAGCGUAGGUGGAUUGUUAAGUCGGUUGUGAAAGUUUGCGGCUCAACCGUAAAAUUGCAGUUGAAACUGGCAGUCUUGAGUACAGUAGGGGUAGGCGGAAUUCGUGGUGUAGCAGUGAAAUGCUUAGAUAUCGCGAAGAACUCCGAUUGCGAAGGCAGUUCACUGGACUGCAACUGACACUGAGGCUCGAAAGUGUGGGUAUCAAACAGGAUUAGAUACCCGGGUAGUC